AGUGAACGCUGGCGGUAGGCCUAACACAUGCAAGUCGAACGGCAGCACAGUAAGAGCUUGCUCUUACGGGUGGCGAGUGGCGGACGGGUGAGGAAUACAUCGGAAUCUACUUUUUCGUGGGGGAUAACGUAGGGAAACUUACGCUAAUACCGCAUACGACCUACGGGUGAAAGCAGGGGAUCUUCGGACCUUGCGCGAUUGAAUGAGCCGAUGUCGGAUUAGCUAGUUGGCGGGGUAAAGGCCCACCAAGGCGACGAUCCGUAGCUGGUCUGAGAGGAUGAUCAGCCACACUGGAACUGAGGCACGGUCCAGACUCCUACGGGAGGCAGCAGUGGGGAAUAUUAGACAAAGGGCGCAAGCCUGAUCCAGCCAUACCGCGUGGGUGAAGAAGGCCUUCGGGUUGUAAAGCCCUUUUGUUGGGAAAGAAAAGCAGCAGGUUAAUACCCCGCUGUUCUGACGGUACCCAAAGAAUAAGCACCGGCUAACUUCGUG
rnacentral:rRNA from 1 species